rnacentral:rRNA from 1 species
GAUUAAACUAGUAAGGGCGUAUGGUGGAUAUCUAGGCGCUAGAAGCCGAAGACGGACGUGGCAAGCUGCGAUAAGCCUUGGUAAGCUGCAAACAAGUGAUAAUCCAGGGAUUUCCUAAUGAGAGCACUUAACAUGGUAACCCAUGUUAUCUUAGAGCUAACUAGAAUAACUCUAAGAGGGUAACGGGGCGAACUGAAACAUCUUAGUAACCCUAGGAAAAGAAAGAAAAUCGAUUCCCUAAGUAGCGGCGAGCGAAAGGGGAAGAGUCCAAACUGUAAUAGUGUAUAAGCUUAUGGGCAUUGCUAUUACAGGGUAGUAGGUCUAUUAUGAUACUACCAUAAAAGUAUUAUAGAUAUCUUUUUAGUUAAUUGAAGUAGUUGGGAAGCUACACCACAGAUGGUAAUAGUCCAGUAGAUGAAAACUAAAAAGGAUCUAAAUAGCACCUAAGUACCAUGAGUCACGUGGAACCUCGUGGGAAGCAAGGAGGACCAUCUCCUAAGGCUAAAUACUAACUAGCGACCGAUAGUGAACCAGUACCGUGAGGGAAAGAUGAAAAGAACCCCGGGAGGGGAGUGAAAUAGACCUUGAAACCAUAUGCUUACAAGCGGUCAGAGGGCGUAUGUGCCUGAUGGCGUGCUUUUUGCUUAACGAACCGGCGAGUUAUGUUAAGUGGCACAGGUUAAGCCAAAAAGGUGAAGCCGAAGCGAAAGCGAGUCUGAAGAGGGCGUAAGUCGCUUAGCAUAGACCCGAAACCGAGUGAUCUAUCCAUGGCCAGGAUGAAGCAUGUGUAAUAGCAUGUGGAGGUCCAAACCGCAUUGACGUUGAAAAGUCAUGGGAUGAGCUGUGGAUAGGGGUGAAAGGCCAAUCGAACUCGGAGAUAGCUGGUUCUCCCCGAAAUAGCUUUAGGGCUAGCCUUAAGAUUGCUAUAUUGGCUGUAGAGCACUGAUUGGACUAGGGGCUUACCCAAGCUACCGAAUCCAGUCAAACUCCGAAGGCUGAUAUAGAGAACUUAAGAGUCAGACUAUGUGGGAUAAGCUUCAUAGUCGAGAGGGAAACAACCCAGACCGCCAGUUAAGGUCCCAAAGUGUAAACUAAGUGGCAAAGGAAGUGAGACUGCCUAGACAACCAGGAUGUUGGCUUAGAAGCAGCCAUUCAUUUAAAGAGUGCGUAAUAGCUCACUGGUCGAGUGGUCUUGCGCCAAAAAUAUACGGGGCUUAAGUUUACCACCGAAACUGCGGAUUGGUUAAUCCAAUGGUAGGGGAGCAUUCUAUACGGGAAGAAGUAGUACCGAAAGGAGCUAUGGACUGUAUAGAAGCGAUAAUGCCGGUAUGAGUAACGAGAAAUAGGUGAGAAUCCUAUUCGCCGAAAGUCCAAGGUUUCCUGAGCAAGGCUCGUCCGCUCAGGGUAAGUCGGGUCCUAAGCCAAGGCCGAAAGGCGUAGGUGAUGGAUAGUCGGUUAAAAAUCCGACACUACCUAUUAGCAUUUGAGUGAAGAGGUGACGCAGGAAGAUAGGUUUGCCUGAGAACGGUAUAUCAGGUUGAAGCACUAAGGAGGAUGAUUUAGGUAAAUCCGGAUCAUCAUUAACUCUAAGGUGUGACCAGGAGUUUCUACGGAAACGAAGCAAUUGAUUCUCCACUGCCAAGAAAAACCUCUAACAAGUUAGUAGGUACCCGUACCGUAAACUGACACAGGUGGACUAGAUGAGAAUUCUAAGGCGCGCGAGAGAACCUUCGUCAAGGAACUCGGCAAAUUAGCCCCGUAACUUAGGGAGAAGGGGUACCUCAUUAGCGUUAUGCGCAAAGAGGUUGCAACAAAGAAGCUUAGGCGACUGUUUACCAAAAACACAGGUCUCUGCUAAGACGCAAGUCGAAGUAUAGGGGCUGACGCCUGCCCGGUGCUGGAAGGUCACGGGGAGAUGUUAGGAACUAUGUUCUAAAGCAUCGAACUUAAGCCCCAGUGAACGGCGGCCGUAACUAUAACGGUCCUAAGGUAGCGAAAUUCCUUGUCGGGUAAGUUCCGACCUGCACGAAUGGCGAAACGACCUAAGCACUGUCUCGACGAAGGACUCGGUGAAAUUGAAGUGUCUGUGAAGAUGCAGACUACCCGCGACUGGACGGAAAGACCCCGUGGAGCUUUACUGCAGUCUGAUAUUGAAUUUUGGUACACUAUGUACAGUAUAAGUGGGAGGCUUUGAAAUCGGCACGCUAGUGUCGAUGGAGCCAUCAUUGGGAUACCACUCUUAUUGUGCCGUGAUUCUAACCAAGCGCUAUAAUCUAGUGCUGGGACAGUUUCAGACGGGCAGUUUGACUGGGGCGGUCGACUCCUAAAGAGUAACGGAGUCGCCCAAAGGUUCCCUCAGUGUGGUCGGAAAUCACACGUAGAGUGUAAAGGCAUAAGGGAGCUUGACUGCAAGACAUACAGGUCGAGCAGGUACGAAAGUAGGGCUUAGUGAUCCGAUGGCUAAGAAUGGAAUUGCCAUCGCGCAACGGAUAAAAGUUACCCCGGGGAUAACAGGCUUAUCUCCCCCAAGAGUUCACAUCGACGGGGAGGUUUGGCACCUCGAUGUCGGCUCGUCGCAUCCUGGAGCUGGAGCAGGUUCCAAGGGUUGGGCUGUUCGCCCAUUAAAGCGGCACGCGAGCUGGGUUCAGAACGUCGUGAGACAGUUCGGUCCCUAUCCGUCGUGGGCGCAGGAUAUUUGAGAGAAACUAUCCCUAGUACGAGAGGACCGGGAUGGAUGUACCGCUGGUGGAUCAAUUGUCAACCAUUGGCAUUGUUGAGUAGCUAAGUGCGGAACUGAUAAGCGCUGAAAGCAUCUAAGCGUGAAGCAGAUCUCAAGAUUAGAUAUCCCAUGGAAUAAUCCAGUAAGAUCCCUGAUAGAACUAUCAGGUAGAUAGGCCAGAGGUGUAAGUGUGGUAACACAUUAAGCUGACUGGUACUAAUAGAGCGAGGGUUUAAUCUA